GCGGAGGGAUCAUUACAGAGCUGCAAAACUCCCUAAACCAUCGUGAACGCUACCUAAACCGUUGCUUCGGCGGGCGGCGCCCUCGCGCGCCCCCCCUGGGGCCCGCACCGCGGGCGCCCGCCGGAGGUACACCAAACUCUUGAUAUGUUAUGGCCACUCUGAGUCUCCUGUACUGAAUAAGUCAAAACUUUCAACAACGGAUCUCUUGGUUCUGGCAUCGAUGAAGAACGCAGCGAAAUGCGAUAAGUAAUGUGAAUUGCAGAAUUCAGUGAAUCAUCGAAUCUUUGAACGCACAUUGCGCCCGCCAGCAUCCUGGCGGGCAUGCCUGUUCGAGCGUCAUUUCAACCCAUCAAGCCCACGGCUUGUGUUGGGGACCUGCGGCUGCCCGCAGGCCCUGAAAACCAGUGGCGGGCUCGCUAGUCACACCGGGCGUAGUAGCAUACGACCUCGCUCAGGGCGUGCUGCGGGUUCCAGCCGUAAAACGACCUUCACAACCCAAGGUUGACCUCGGAUCAGGUAGGAGGACCCGCUGAACUUAAGCAUAUCAAUAAGCCAGGAGGAA
rnacentral:rRNA from 1 species